rnacentral:snoRNA from 1 species
CCAAGUAAUGAUGAUUGGCUUAAUAUGUUCAACUGCUCUGAAGUGUGAGUGACAGCGGCCUCUCUGAACA